GCAACACUGUGCAUUAACGGUGCUCGCAACCGGCCUGCCAUGAAAUUAGUUACGCAAAUAAUGAGACAUGCGACGCCGGUCUACAGUGGUAGUACCGUCGUUGAAUGUUUAUGCCCAAUAGGAAUGAGAAUCAAAACAAAAGAACAAAUUAGAGGUUGAUGAAAGUUGAUUUAAAAGAAAAAAAAUAAGUUUGGCAUAAAAUAGUUAGCACGAAAAAUAUAUUGAAGAAAAAGUUUAUUUAGGAACUAGAGAAUCAUUACGAUAUACGGUAGACUAAAUGAAUUUAGUUGAGUCAUUUUUCUCUAUUUUAAUACUGUUUAUUAUUUCAAAACAUCAAAUUAGGUUUGCGAAAAAGAAAUCAGUGGUCCUUUAAACGGCAAAAAUUUCUAAACUAGUACUAGUACUACUAGAUAGAUAGUAAGUACAACACAUUACGAUUUGAAGUGUUUUUAGAACUCGAUUUGAUUUCAUACAGAUCAUUUGUGGACGAGAAAUAUCUGCAAAAUUCCACGACACACGUUGUACGAGGUGGAAGAAAACUAUUAAUUGUAAGUUGUAUAUCAUUUAAUGUAAUUGCACUAUUUACCGGAACUAUUAAAUUGCAGUUUGAGCUGCCUUGAAGCUGCUACAAAAACAGUGGUGUAAUUCUUUGAAAUCCCGAACAUUCUCAAAAAUUAAUAAGAGAUAGGGAUCCAACCUCAAAACGAUGGAUGGAAUUGCGGAUAUGACAACGACUUCCUGCGGAGCCUGCGGAUUGGUGUCCGAGGUGAAUGAGCGCAUGGUAUGCUGUGACAAUUGCGAUGUUUGGUACCAUUACCGUUGCGUAGGUGUCACAGCAGCAGUCGAAAGUCAGGAGAAAUGGUAUUGCCCUGAGGAAGAUUGUCAGAACCAGAAAAAACUGGACGAAGAGACUUCUAAGACGGGUACCAAGAAGAAGACAGCCGAGGAUAUAUCGGAUAAAUCUAGUUUGAGAUCGGACGGAAAGUCCGGUUCGUCAUUGGAGCGGGAGCUAAGAGCUCUAGAAAAGGAGCGAAAAAAGAAAGAAUUGGAGAUGAGUAACGAACGGGUUCUGUGGGAAAAGCGGAUGGAAAUGAACCGAAUCCUACAAGAGCAGCGGAUUAAGAUGGAAAAUGAGCUCCGGGCCAAAGAACUACGGCAGGAAGAACAGUUGUUGCAGAAAGCGUUGCUCGAAAAGCAAACACAUUUAGACCGAAUGAAGAAAUUGAGAGAGUCGUAUCAUGACAAAAUGAAUCAAAUCGAGCAGGAUCUAUCGAAAUUGAAAUCUAGUGGUUUACAAACCGCAUCAUCGGGAGAAGGAACCUCGAAGAAUGUAAAGACACCGAAUACUGGAAUUCCGCUGGAAAAUGCGCAUGUACACAAUCAAAAGGAAUCAGAUAACCGCAAUAAGCAUAAGCCAGAGGAUGAACGAGAUGAAUCCGAGGAAGCAAGUAGCGAAGACGAGAGCGAUGGCAGUUCAGACGGAUCCAAUGAUGAUACUAUUUCGAGUGAAUCUGGUCAUGAAGAAGUAAAGGAAGAGAAACAAUCAAAAAAGAAACGAAAAAACCCCGAGCAGAGGCAGGCUCCGUCUAAAGUACAACUAGCUGCCCGGAGUGGGAUUAGUAAGAAACUUCCAGUCUUUACCGGGAAGCCGGAAGAAUGGCCAUUAUUCAUUGGAACUUAUCAAGCUUCCACAGAUGCUUGUGGAUUCAAUGACGUUGAAAACCUUGUUCGACUACAGGAGAGCUUGAAGGGUCCAGCAUUAGAAAGCGUUCGAGGACAGUUGCUUUUCCCAAAAUCCGUACCGAGAGUCAUCAGCAAACUUCGUCAGCUGUAUGGACGUCCGGAACAACUACUGCAAUGUCAUCUCGAAAAGGUGCGGCGACUGGAAGCUCCGAAGCCAGAUAAAUUGGCAACAUAUGUUCCUUUUGGGAAUACUGUAGAGCAGCUAUGUGAACAUUUGGAAGCGGCUAAAUUGAAGCAACAUCUCACAAAUCCUCUUUUAAUCCAGGAUUUGGUCGACAAGCUUCCUGCUCAUGACAAGCGUGAGUGGGUUCGGUUCAAGAACCAGCAAAAGAGAGUUAAUCUCCGUACUUUUACCGACUUUGUGUCAACAAUCGUUGCAGAAGCUUGCGAGGCCAAUGUAAAGAUGGAUUUCCAGCAGCCAGCAGCGCAUGAGUAUGCGGGAAAGGGCAAAAUAAAGGAAAAAGGCGUUCAUGUAUACAACCACAGUGCUGUGGAAAGGUCUUCCGUCGGAGCCGAUGAGAUUUAUCCGAAACCGUGCAGAGUGUGCAAGCGUACUGAUCAUCGUCUUCGAUUCUGUCAGGACUUUAGAGCACUGGCUUUGGCGGACCGCCUGAAACUGGUAGAACAAGGGAAACUAUGCGUCAUAUGCCUUAAUGAUCACGGUAACGCUCCGUGCAAAUUCAAAAUACGAUGCAACAUCGAUGACUGUCGAGAACGACACAACCCUCUUCUCCAUCCCGUCACAGUAGCAAUCAAUGCACACUUCCGAUGUACCAGCACAAUCCUAUUCCGCAUGCUGCCAGUUACGUUACACUGUGGAAAGCGAUCUGUAAACACAUUGGCUUUCUUGGACGAGGGUGCGUCUGUAACUCUAAUUGAAAAGUCAUUAGCCGAAGUAAUGGGGGCCGAAGGACCCAAGGAGAAGCUGACCAUCAAAUGGACGGCCGAUAUAACGCGUGUAGAGAAGGAAUCACGCAGGGUAAACUUACUGAUUUCUGGAAGUGGAAGUUCAGAGAAGUAUCAGCUCAGUUCGGUCAGGACGGUAGAUGAGCUGCUUCUGCCGAAACAAACUAUAGACGCAACAGGAAUCAGCCGCCGGAUGAAGCAUCUUCGUGGACUACCAAUAGCGUCCUACGAAAAUCAACGCCCUGGUUUGCUAAUAGGCUUGAAUAACUUGCAUGUGAUUGCACCGAUGGAAGCAAAAAUCGGUGAGCUGGGCGAUAUGAUAGCGGUACGUUCCAAGCUGGGAUGGGCAGUUUACGGGCCAAAUCAGAUGCAGCCGUCGGAUUCGGAAGUGUAUCUUGGGCACCACGACGCAGUCAGCAAUCAAGAUCUUCACGAUUUACUAAAAGUUCAGUAUGCGUUAGAGGACUCUGUGAUUGUAAAGCUGCCGGAAUCGGAUGAGGAUAGAAGAGCGCGCCUAAUUCUGGAAAAGACCACUAGAAGAGUAGGAAAUCGUUUCGAAACAGGACUGUUGUGGGACAAAGAAGAUGCAGAGCUUCCGAACAGUUAUCCGAUGGCCGUGAGGAGAAUGAAGUGUCUGGAACAACGUCUACUGAAACAACCAGCGCUAUUCGAGAACGUAUGUAGUCAGAUCGAGCAGUACCAGCAGAAAGGAUACGCGCAUCCAGCAACCGCUGAAGAAUUGGCCGAAACCGAACCGGGGAAAGUUUGGUAUCUGCCCCUUAACGUCGUGGUCAACCCUAGAAAGCCGGGCAAAGUACGGCUCGUCUGGGAUGCGGCAGCAAGUGUGAAUGGUACAUCCCUCAACUCCUUGCUUCUCACGGGACCCGAUCUACUGGUAUCAAUUUUGACGGUAUUUUGUAAAUUUCGUGAAAGGCCAAUUGCUUUCGGUGGUGACAUUCGCGAAAUGUACCAUCAGAUGCUGAUUCGACGCGCUGACAAAAGAGUACAGCGGUUUAUUUUUCGACAUGAUCCUAGGGACGAACCCUGUAUUUAUGUUAUGGACGUGGCUACCUUUGGGGCAAAAUGCUCUCCAUGCUCAGCCCAGUUCGUGAAGAACAUGAACGCAAUGGAGUUUGUAGUGGAAAAUCCUGAAGCCGUAGCAGCAAUCGUCGAGAAACAUUACGUUGACGACUACUUCGACAGCGUGGAUACCAUCGAAGAGGCGAUACAGCGUGCGAAGCAGGUGAGACUUAUCCAUGCAAAGGGGGGUUUCGAAAUACGCAAUUGGGUAUCCAAUUCGGAAAAAGUUCUCAGUUCUCUCGGGGAAUCAAAAGAAGUUCAAACUAUUCACUUCAACCAAGACAAAGAGACUGGAAAUGAGCGAGUUCUUGGUAUAAUUUGGAAUACAGUUCAAGACGUGUUCUCUUUUUCGACCGAACAUCGCGAAGAUUUGCAAGAGUAUUUGCGGGGCAGCAAGAAACCGACGAAGCGUAUCGUGUUGAGUUGCGUUAUGGGAUUUUUCGACCCACUGGGAUUAUUAUCAUGUUUUACCGUGCAUGGAAAAAUCCUGGUACAGGACUUGUGGCGAAAUGGCUGCGAAUGGGAUCAAGAAAUUGAUGAUGAAUGUUUGGUCAAAUGGCAGCAAUGGAUCGAGUUACUGCCAUUAGUGGAACAGAUUCGAAUUCCACGAUCAUAUUUUGGUCGAACUAGAUCAUCAGAAAUCGACAAACUCGAGCUACAUAUUUUCACCGACGCCAGUAUUCACGCGUAUGGGUGUGUAGCGUAUUUUCGUGCAUCUAUCGGCGAUGAAGUGAAAUGUUCAUUGGCGAUGUCUAGAUCGAAAGUAGCUCCUCUGAAGAUGCAAUCUAUUCCUCGGCUAGAACUCAUGGGAGCUGUCCUCGGGGCGAGAAUGUGGCAAACUAUUAAAGCCCACCAUUCACUGCCAAUCAAUCGUUGUUUUCUUUGGACUGAUUCGCAAACAGUCAUGAGUUGGCUGCGGUCUGAUCAGCGAAAAUAUAAACAAUUCGUUGCAUUCAGAGUCGGGGAGAUUUUGGAGACGACCGGAUCAUCCGACUGGCGUUGGAUUCCAUCCCGGUUGAACCUCGCUGAUGCGCUGACGAAAUGGGGACAAGGUCCACCGUUGAGUUCAGACGGAGAAUGGUUCAAGGGUGCAAGAUUUCUGUAUGAACCUGAAGAGUCGUGGCCAAACGAGCGACUACCAGUAACUAAUAUUGAGGAAGAAAUGAAAAUGCACUUUCUUCACCAUGAAACAAAGGAGUUUCCAGAACCCAUUAUCAACGUGGAAGUUACGUGGCGCUGGAUUAAGUUAUUGCGAAUCAUAGCUUGCGUAAUCAGAUUUAUCACUAAUAUUCGUCGGAAGGUAAAGGGACUUCCGAUACGUACGCUAAUGUCAAACAAGCAUCAGCAACGCAAACUACAUGUGAACCUCAACACAGUACAACAACCAUUGCAACAGGACGAGUUUAUGAAAGCGGAAGUAAUUUUGUGGAAACAGGCGCAAUUAGAGGUAUUUCCAAAUGAAGUAGUGAUACUGCUGGGAAAUGAAACAAUAAAAGGGGACCAGAAGCCAGCGCAGAUCGGGAAGAGAAGUCCAUUGUAUAAACUCACUCCGAUAUUAGACGAGUUCGGUGUGAUUAGAAUGAACGGUCGGAUGGCUAAAUCCAAGGAAAUUCCAUUUGACAUGAAGUUUCCGAUUAUUCUUCCAAAGGGACACGCAGUGACGAAACGAUUAAUCCAAUAUUACCACGAAAAGUUUGGACAUGCGAAUCGGGAAACGGUGUUGAAUGAGCUUCGUCAAAAAUUCCAUAUUCCGAAGAUGCGAAUGGAAAUUCAACGAGUUAUGAAAGAUUGUAUCUGGUGUAAAGUAAAUCGGUGUUAUGCUGAGGUUCCUAUGAUGGCACCACUUCCGAUUCAACGAAUUACCCAACCUACAAGACCGUUUAGUGCAGUGGGUGUAGACUAUCUGGGACCUGUUGAAGUUACGGUUGGUCGCAGAAGAGAAAAACGGUGGAUUGCAUUGUUCACGUGCCUUGCCGUACGAGCAGUGCACCUGGACGUGGUACACACACUUACGACACAAGCUUGUUUAAUGGCAAUUCGAAGAUUCAUUUGCAAACGAGGUGUUCCCGAUGAAAUCUUCUCCGAUAAUGGGACAAAUUUUAAAGGAGCCAGCAAAGAGUUGAUUUUAUGGAUGAAGAGGGUGAAUUACGAAUGUGCAGAUUCGGUAGUUAAUAGUUCAAUAAAAUGGAAUUUCAAUCCUCCUGGUACACCGCAUAUGGGAGGUAUCUGGGAGAGAAUGGUUCGAUCAGUGAAGGAGGCGAUGAAGGCACUCGACGAUGGUAGACGGUUAACGGACGAAAUUUUGUUGACCACUCUUGCAGAAGCAGAAGAUAUGGUGAAUAGUCGACCACUUACAUAUGUAUCUCAGGAAUCAGCUUCUGAAACGAUUACUCCGAAUCAUUUCCUUAGAGGGACGACCAAAUCAGUGGAUCGUCAUGUAGACGGAUCGGUGGACUUCGCAGAAGCAUUGCGCGAUACGUACAAACGUUCGCAGUAUUUGGCGGACCAGAUGUGGCAACGCUGGUACAAGGAGUAUCUACCUACAAUCAAUAAACGCACCAAAUGGUUCUCUGAAAGAAGAUCGUUAAAGAAAGGAGAUCUGGUGUUUGUGGUAGAUGGUCAGCACCGAAAAAGCUGGAUCAGAGGAAUAGUCGAGGAAACAAUCAUAGGGUCUGAUGGUAGAGUUCGACAGGCAGAUGUGCGAACAAGUAAUGGUUUAUUCCGGCGCGGAGUAGCCAACCUUGCAGUGCUAGAAAUUGGUGGUAAAUCCGGACAACGAUGAAGUGUUACCGGAGUUACGGGCGGGGGGUGUUGGCAACACUGUGCAUUAACGGUGCUCGCAACCGGCCUGCCAUGAAAUUAGUUACGCAAAUAAUGAGACAUGCGACGCCGGUCUACAGUGGUAGUACCGUCGUUGAAUGUUUAUGCCCAAUAGGAAUGAGAAUCAAAACAAAAGAACAAAUUAGAGGUUGAUGAAAGUUGAUUUAAAAGAAAAAAAAUAAGUUUGGCAUAAAAUAGUUAGCACGAAAAAUAUAUUGAAGAAAAAGUUUAUUUAGGAACUAGAGAAUCAUUACGAUAUACGGUAGACUAAAUGAAUUUAGUUGAGUCAUUUUUCUCUAUUUUAAUACUGUUUAUUAUUUCAAAACAUCAAAUUAGGUUUGCGAAAAAGAAAUCAGUGGUCCUUUAAACGGCAAAAAUUUCUAAACUAGUACUAGUACUACUAGAUAGAUAAUCAUUUGUGGACGAGAAAUAUCUGCAAAAUUCCACGACACACGUUGUACGAGGUGGAAGAAAACUAUUAAUUGUAAGUUGUAUAUCAUUUAAUGUAAUUGCACUAUUUACCGGAACUAUUAAAUUGCAGUUUGAGCUGCCUUGAAG